rnacentral:rRNA from 1 species
AUUGAACGCUGGCGACAUGCCUUACACAUGCAAGUCGAACGGCAGCACGGGUGCUUGCACCUGGUGGCGAGUGGCGAACGGGUGAGUAAUACAUCGGAACAUGUCCUGUAGUGGGGGAUAGCCCGGCGAAAGCCGGAUUAAUACCGCAUACGAUCUACGGAUGAAAGCGGGGGACCUUCGGGCCUCGCGCUAUAGGGUUGGCCGAUGGCUGAUUAGCUAGUUGGUGGGGUAAAGGCCUACCAAGGCGACGAUCAGUAGCUGGUCUGAGAGGACGACCAGCCACACUGGGACUGAGACACGGCCCAGACUCCUACGGGAGGCAGCAGUGGGGAAUUUUGGACAAUGGGCGAAAGCCUGAUCCAGCAAUGCCGCGUGUGUGAAGAAGGCCUUCUGGUUGUAAAGCACUUUUGUCCGGAGAGAAAUCCUUGGCCCUAAUACGGUCGGGGGAUGACGGUACCGGAAGAAUAAGCACCGGCUAACUACGUG